GAUGAACGCUGGCGGCGUGCCUAAUACAUGCAAGUCGAGCGAACGGACGAGAAGCUUGCUUCUCUGAUGUUAGCGGCUGACGGGUGAGUAACACGUGGAUAACCUACCUAUAUGACUGGGAUAACUUCGGGAAACCGGAGCUAAUACCGGAUAAUAUUUUGAACCGCAUGGUUCAAAAGUGAAAGACGGUCUUGCUGUCACUUAUAGAUGGAUCCGCGCUGCAUUAGCUAGUUGGUAAGGUAACGGCUUACCAAGGCAACGAUGCGUAGCCGACCUGAGAGGGUGAUCAGCCACACUGGAACUGAGACACGGUCCAGACUCCUACGGGAGGCAGCAGUAGGGAAUCUUCGGCAAUGGGCGAAAGCCUGACGCAGCAACGCCGCGUGAGUGAUGAAGGUCUUCGGAUCGUAAAACUCUGUUAUUGGGGAAGAAAAUAUGUGUAAGUAACUGUGGACAUCUUGACGGUACCUAAUCAAAAAGCAACGGCUAACUACGUG
rnacentral:rRNA from 1 species